GGCGGACGGGUGAGUAAUGCCUAGGAAUCUGCCUGGUAGUGGGGGAUAACGUUUCGAAAGGAACGCUAAUACCGCAUACGUCCUACGGGAGAAAGUGGGGGAUCUUCGGACCUCACGCUAUCAGAUGAGCCUAGGUCGGAUUAGCUAGUUGGUGGGGUAAUGGCCCACCAAGGCGACGAUCCGUAACUGGUCUGAGAGGAUGAUCAGUCACACUGGAACUGAGACACGGUCCAGACUCCUACGGGAGGCAGCAGUGGGGAAUUUUGGACAAUGGGCGCAAGCCUGAUCCAGCAAUGCCGCGUGCAGGAAGAAGGCCUUCGGGUUGUAAACUGCUUUUGUCAGGGAAGAAAUCUUCUGGGCUAAUACCCCGGGAGGAUGACGGUACCUGAAGAAUAAGCACC
rnacentral:rRNA from 1 species